CCUACGCGUGGCAGCAGUGAGGCAUAUUGGUCAAUGGGCGAGAGGCUGCACCAGCCAAGUAGCGUGAGGGAUGACUGUCCUAUGGAUUGUAAACCUCUUUUAUCAAGGAAUAAAGUGACCCACGUGUGCCUGUUUGAAUGUACCUUAUGACUAAGCAUCGUCUAACUCCGUUCCAGCAGCCGCGGUAAGACGGAGGAUACUAUCGUUAUCCGGAUUUAUUGGGUUUAAAGGGUGCGUAGAGGGGUUGUUAAGUCAGGUGUGAAAGUUGGGGAGUCAACCGUAACAUUGCAUUUGAUACUGGUGGUCUUGAGUAGAGUAGAGGUAGGCGGAAGUCGUGGUGUAGCGGUGAAAUGCUUAGAUAUCACGAAGAACUCCGAUUGCGAAGGCAGCUUACCAAACUGCCACUGACAUUGAUGCUCGAAAGUGUGGGUAUCGAACAGGAUUAGAUACCCUAGUAGUC
rnacentral:rRNA from 1 species